GACGAACGCUGGCGGCGUGCUUAACACAUGCAAGUCGAACGGAAAGGCCCUGCUCUUGUGGGGUGCUCGAGUGGCGAACGGGUGAGUAACACGUGAGUAACCUGUCCUUGACUUUGGGAUAACUUCAGGAAACUGGGGCUAAUACCGGAUAGGAGCUCCUGCUGCAUGGGGGGGGUUGGUAAGUUUCGGUGGUUGGGGGUUGACUGGCGGGUUAUCCGCUUGUUGGGGGGGUUGUGGCUUUCCCAGGUUUUCAAGGGUACGCGGCCUGAGGGGGUGACCGGCCACAUUGGGACUGAGAUACGGCCCAAACUCCUACGGGAGGCAGCAGUGGGGAAGAUUGCACAAUGGGCGGAAGCCUGAUGAAGCAGCGCCGCGUGCGGGAUGACGGCCUUCGGGUUGUAGACCACAUUCGCCUGUGACGAAGCGUGAGUGACGGUAAUGGGUAAAGAAGAACCGGCUAACUACGUG
rnacentral:rRNA from 1 species